GCCGGAAGUCAAAAGGGACCAUUGACACAUUCGUAAUGUGCGGGGCGUAGGUUCAAAUCCUAUCACCGGCUCCA
rnacentral:tRNA from 1 species